rnacentral:misc_RNA from 1 species
GAUGAAGAACGUAGCGAAAUGCGAUACGUAAUGUGAAUUGCAGAAUUCAGUGAAUCAUCGAAUCUUUGAACGCAUAUUGCGCUCUUUGGUAUUCCGAAGAGCAUGCUUGUUUGAGUAUCAGUAAACACCUCAAAGACUUCAAUUUGUUUUGAAUGGCUUUGGACUUGAGCAAUCCCAACACCAGUCUUUACGAUCGGUGGAGGGUUGCUUGAAAUGCAGGUGCAGCUGGACAUUCUCCUGAGCUAAAAGCAUAUUUAUUUAGUCCCGUCAAACGGAUUAAUACUUUUGCUGCAGCUAACAUAAAGGGAGUUUGACCGUAUUGGCUGACUGAUGCAGGAUUUCACAAGGGUCGGCAACGAUUCUUGUAAAACUCGAUCUCAAAUCAAGUAAGACUACCCGCUGAACUUAAGCAUAUCAAUAAGCGGAGGA